UACGAAGGGGGCUAGCGUUGUCCGGAAUCACUGGGCGUAAAGGGCGCGUAGGCGGCCGUGCAAGCGUGGGGUGAAAGUCCGGGGCUCAACCUGGGAACUGCACUUGUGACUGCACAGCUGGAGUGCGGCAGAGGGGGAUGGAAUUCCGCGUGUAGCAGUGAAAUGCGUAGAUAUGCGGAGGAACACCGAUGGCGAAGGCAAUCCCCUGGGCCUGCACUGACGCUCAUGCACGAAAGCGUGGGGAGCAAACAGG
rnacentral:rRNA from 1 species